rnacentral:rRNA from 1 species
CUACGGGGUGCUCCAGUGAGGAAUAUUGCACAAUGGGGGGAACCCUGAUGCAGCAACGCCGCGUGGAGGAUGACGCAUUUCGGUGUGUAAACUCCUUUUAUAUGUCAAGAAAAUGACGGUAGCAUAUGAAUAAGCACCGGCUAACUCCGUGCCAGCAGCCGCGGUAAUACGGAGGGUGCAAGCGUUACUCGGAAUCACUGGGCGUAAAGGACGCGUAGGCGGGUUGGAAAGUCAGGUGUGAAAUCCUACAGCUUAACUGUAGAACUGCACUUGAAACUUCUAAUCUAGAGUAUGGGAGGGGAGAUUGAAUUAGUGGUGUAGGGGUAAAAUCCGUAGAUAUCACUAGGAAUACCUAAAGCGAAGGCGAUCUCCUGGAACAUUACUGACGCUAAGGCGUGAAAGCGUGGGGAGCAAACAGGAUUAGUACCCUAGUAGUC